rnacentral:rRNA from 1 species
GCAGUAGCCGCGGUAAUACGUAGGGUGCGAGCGUUAAUCGGAAUUACUGGGCGUAAAGCGUGCGCAGGCGGUUAUAUAAGACAGAUGUGAAAUCCCCGGGCUCAACCUGGGACCUGCAUUUGUGACUGUAUAGAUAGAGUACGGUAGAGGGGGAUGGAAUUCCGCGUGCAGCAAUGAAAUGCGUAGAUAUGCGGAGGAACACCGAUGGCGAAGGCAAUCCCCUGGACCUGUACUGACGCUCAUGCACGAAAGCGUGGGGAGCAAACAGGAUUAGAUACCCCAGUAGUCCCUGUCUCUUAUAC